AUACUCAGCUGGUUAGAGUGAAAAACUUUUAAUUUUUUUGGUCGUGAGUUCGAGUCUCACU
rnacentral:tRNA from 1 species